rnacentral:rRNA from 1 species
CCCUUAGAUGUUCUGGGCCGCACGCGCGCUACACUGAUGCAUUCAACGAGUUUCUUCCUGGUCCGAGAGGAAUGGGUAACCUUUUGAAAGUGCAUCGUGAUAGGGAUAGACUAUUGCAAUUAUUGGUCUUCAACGAGGAAUUCCUAGUAAACGCAGGUCAUUAACCUGCAUUGAUUACGUCCCUGCCCUUUGUACACACCGCCCGUCGCACCUACCGAUUGAAUGGUCCGGUGAAGUCUCCGGACUGAGUACUUUUAGUACUUGGGAAGUUGACUAAACCUUACUAUUUAGAGGAAGGUGAAGUCGUAACA